rnacentral:rRNA from 1 species
UACGUAGGGGGCAAGCGUUGUCCGGAUUUAUUGGGCGUAAAGAGCGUGUAGGCGGCCAGAUAGGUCAGCUGUGAAAACUCGAGGCUCAACCUCGAGAUGUCGGCUGAAACCAUCUGGCUAGAGUCCGGAAGAGGAGAAUGGAAUUCCCGGUGUAGCGGUGAAAUGCGCAGAUAUCGGGAAGAACACCCGUGGCGAAGGCGGGUCUCUGGGCAGUAACUGACGCUGAGGAGCGAAAGCGUGGGGAGCGAACAGG